UAUGACAGCAGACUUUAGGAAAUCACAAGAUGCAAGCUUAAUUAAUAGCAUGUCCUUAAUUUCCAUUGAGUAAUACUUGCAGUGUUAGAGCAAUUGCUUCCACCCUGGACUACAGUAGUGGAAUAUGUAGACUACGGUAAGUAUCUCAUUCCAUAUUCCUACCCUAAGUCAGAGUAAUGUGUGAUUUAACCUGUUCUAAUUCAGAUAAA
rnacentral:lncRNA from 1 species